CGCCGCACCAGGCGCCAUUGUUUUUUUUAAAUUGGGCAGCUUCCAGAACCUGCCCAGGCUCAGAUAGACUCCCUAUCAAGCUUUUGAAUUUUUGCCAAUCAGAUAGGUAAGGUUAACUAUUUUUAUCCCCUCUUACUUAUCUCCAGCGAACCAGGCCUGUUACGUAGCAUCACUGUUUAGAAGUUCCAUGUCAGACUGGGCGUGGUGGCUCACGCCUGUAAUCCUAGCACUUUGGAAGGCCGACGCGGGCGGAUCACUUGAGGUCAGGAGUUCAAAACCAGCCUGGCCAACAUGGUGAAACCCCGUCUCUACUAAAACUACAAAAAAAUUUAGCCAGGUGUGGUGGCGGGCGCGUGUAAUUCCAGCUACUCGAGAGGCUGAGGCAGAAGAAUUGUUUGAACUCGGGAGGUGGAGGUUGCAGUGAGCCGAGAUCGCGCCACAGCACUCCAGCCUGGGCGACAAGGGCGAGACUCCGUGUCAAAAAAAAAAAAAAAAAAAAGUUCCAUGCCAGGAGAGUCUGGCUCCACCUAGUGGUAGCAUAUCUAGUUGCAGAAAAAGUACCUUUUCUUCGUAGCUGUGCCUUUGUACUUACUUUUACUUACCUACUAAAUUUCCUGCUCCUUCCUCCCUAAAUGGAAAAAAAACCUGCAUUCUAAUCCCUUUCCUAUGGGUUGCAGCAUGUGCCACACUCUUUGAGGGAGGCUUCCAUGUGGUCCUUAUUGGGCACUUCAACAUCUUAAAUCAUGAGUUGGGCUCAAAGGUAGGAGGAGUGGUACUGAACUCUAGGGUCCACUUUCUCAACAUACCAGAGACAAGGAAAUGAGGCUGGUUUGUUGGUUUGUUUGUUUGCUUGCUUGCUUGUUUGUUUUUUGGCCCUUCAACCUGCUCUACUGUCCACACACUAAGAACAAAGUGUUGGUGGUGGCAACUUUGAAAAAUUCAGGGCCGGCCUGAAUGACUCAUGCCUGUAAUCCCAGCACUUUAGGAGGCCAAGGCAGGUGGAUCACUUGAGGCCAGGAGUUCGAGACCAGCCUGGCCAACAUGGUGAAACCCUGUGCUAAAAAUACAAAAAUUAGCUGGGCAGUAGUAGCACGUGCCUGUAAUCCCAGCUACUCGGGAGGCUGAGGCAAGAGAAUCGCUUGAGCCUGGGAGGCAGAGGUUGUGGUGAGCCGAGGUCUGGCCACUGCACUCCAGUCUGGGCAAGAGAGUGAGACCCUGUCUCAAAAAAAAAAAAAAAAAAGUUGUUCUAAAAUGGGUAUGGGUAUCCCCACCAGUUACAUGGCAUCUCCCAACACUUCUCAUUGGUUUCUCAUUCACCCCUUUUUCUUCAUUCCUCAUUCUUUUGUGGCUGCUCCUAACCACUCUGCCUUCUGCAUUCCUUUCUCCCUGGGGAUGUUACAGACCACGACCAAAGUAAUCUGCAUUUUAUAAGUCUGCGUUGAAAAACAAAUGACGCGGCGGGUGUGGUGGCACACACCUGUAAUCCCAGCACUUUGGGAAGCCGAGGCGGGUGGAUCACGAGGUCAGGAGAUCGAGACUAUCCUGGCUAACACGGUGAAACCCCGUCUCUACUAAAAAUACAAAAAAUCAGCCGGGCAUGGUGGCGGGCGCCUGUGGUCCCAGCUACUCGGGAGGCUGAGGCAGGAGAAUGGCGUGAACCCAGAAGGCGGAGCUUGCAGUGAGCCCAGUUCGCACCACUGCACUCCAGCCUGGGUGACAGAG
rnacentral:lncRNA from 1 species